rnacentral:piRNA from 1 species
UCCCACAGAUGUGAACUGGGUUUAGGAC